UACGGAGGGAGCUAGCGUUGUUCGGAAUUACUGGGCGUAAAGCGCACGUAGGCGGCUUUGUAAGUUAGAGGUGAAAGCCUGGGGCUCAACUCCAGAACUGCCUUUAAAACUGCAUCGCUUGAAUCCAGGAGAGGUGAGUGGAAUUCCGAGUGUAGAGGUGAAAUUCGUAGAUAUUCGGAAGAACACCAGUGGCGAAGGCGGCUCACUGGACUGGUAUUGACGCUGAGGUGCGAAAGCGUGGGGAGCGAACGGG
rnacentral:rRNA from 1 species